rnacentral:rRNA from 1 species
AGAAUCAACGCUGGCGGCGUGCCUAACACAUGCAAGUCGCACGAGAAAGGGUAGCAAUACCUGAGUAAAGUGGCGCACGGGUGGGUAACACGUGAAUUAUCUACCUCCGAGUGGGGAAUAACUGAGAGAAAUCUUAGCUAAUACCGCAUAACACUUACGAGUCAAAGCAGCAAUGCGCUUGGAGAGGAGUUCGCGGCAGAUUAGUUAGUUGGCGGGGUAAUGGCCCACCAAGACGAUGAUCUGUAUCCGGCCUGAGAGGGCGCACGGACACACUGGAACUGAAACACGGUCCAGACUCCUACGGGAGGCAGCAGUGGGGAAUUUUGCGCAAUGGGGGAAACCCUGACGCAGCAACGCCGCGUGGAGGAUGAAAUAUCUUGGUAUGUAAACUCCUUUCGAUGGGGAAGAUUAUGACGGUACCCAUAGAAGAAGCCCCGGCUAACUUCGUGCCAGCAGCCGC